GCGUUCGUAGUUAAAUGGUAUAAUUUCUGGUUGCCAACCAGAGGUUGAGAGUUCGAUUCUCUCCGACCGCA
rnacentral:tRNA from 1 species